GGGCGGUCGCGGCCGGGUGCGCGGUGGCGCUGCUGGCGCCGCUCGCGUUCUCCUUCAGCCGGGGCGCGUGGAUCGCCACCGCGGUGGCCUG
rnacentral:tRNA from 3 species